rnacentral:rRNA from 1 species
UACGAAGGGGGCUAGCGUUGCUCGGAAUCACUGGGCGUAAAGGGUGCGUAGGCGGGUCUUUAAGUCAGGGGUGAAAUCCUGGAGCUCAACUCCAGAACUGCCUUUGAUACUGAAGAUCUUGAGUUCGGGAGAGGUGAGUGGAACUGCGAGUGUAGAGGUGAAAUUCGUAGAUAUUCGCAAGAACACCAGUGGCGAAGGCGGCUCACUGGCUCGUAACUGACGCUCAGGCGCGACAGCGUGGGGAUCAAACAGG